AGAAAAUGAAAUUUUUAAAUCACAAAACGUUAACAAAAACUAAAUGGUAAUUUGUCUUUUCAUGUGCCAAAGCAUUUGCACAUGCCUAGAAACUCACAGCUUGGAAUUUUGAAGGUUUCAACUGAAUUUAAGGAGAAAAGAUAAGAUAACAAAUAUAAAAAUGUUCUGAUGGAGUCAUCGUUGGGAGAUAGAUGCAUGGUCAAUUUUUGUAGA
rnacentral:lncRNA from 1 species